AGACAAGGCCUAAAGGAUUCAGAUACCCAAUCCCAUUGCCCUGCACAGGCAGCUGUGUGCCUAACUCCUUUGGGGCCCUUGCAAAUCCCAGGCUGGACUCUGAGUGAAAGUAUUUGCACAUCUGUAAGUGACUUGUAGUAUUUACAUACUACAUUACAGAAUCAGUCAGUGCUCAAUUACUGGGUGUGUGAACCAGUGACCGUUUAAUUACAACGAAUGACUGACUAAUUCAGCUAUGGAGUUAAAACAAUGUUGAGAAGUUCUGAUACUGCCCCUCCCCCACCCCUGUGCAUCUCACAGAGCAGGGACCCUCCUCUUCCCCUCCCUCCCACGUUGCACAGAGCUGGAGUAUGCCCCUCCCCCAUCCUUGGGCAUCACACAGAGCAGUGACCCACUGUUACACGCUGUAUCCAAAUCAACAUCCUGGCACCCCCAUAUUUAUCAUGGUGAUAUGAUUAUGAUAUAUUUGGUACGAAGUAUGCCUUGUGAGGUAUCAUUCUAAAAGUCUUCAUUUGUUGAACAUUAAUAUCCUGUUGGAUUAUAUGCACUAUCAUUGUAUGUGAAGUUAUGAAGUUUUGCUAUGUGUGUGUUACUGAAAUAUGGUGUAAGGUUGGGAACACCAACAACCAACCUUUCAGGUACAAUAAUGUAACACCAGAUGCUGUUGAUGGCCCAUUAAGGGGAAUCCACACUACCAAGGACUAUCACAGGAUCUGCGUACAAUGAAAACCUCUCAGCGAUAGCACAUAAACAAUGGACACAGCUUGACUCAAAUCCUAGCAAAAGAUCUAUAGCUCCUCCUAUAAAGGAGGGGAAAUGACCUAAGCAUUUAGCCUCACUUCCCCCCACAACUCAACACCUGGAAACACCUCUGAAGGACAAAGACUGAAUGGGGGAGGUGGUCCCAGGCUGGAAAGGAGAAUCGCAACCUGUGUAUGCAGGAACUAUGCCAUCUACCAGGGAGCAGCUCGAGUCUCUGGGCUUGCAACUGGUACAAGAGCCAGGCCUGGGGCCAUUUCCAGGACUGUUAACAGCUGCCAGGAAUAGUGCAAAGCUGGGGAUUUUCACAAGAGCUGCCACACUGGGUCAGACCAACGGUCCAUCUAUCCCAGUAUCCUGUCUCCAAGAGCGACCAGUUAAAGAGCUUCACAGGGAAUGCACAGAACAGGCCAAUUUUGGAGCGACCCACCCCUUGUCUUCCACUCCUGGCUUCUGACAGUCAGAGGUUUAGGGAGACUCAGGGCAUGGGGUUGCAUCCCUGGCCAUCUUGGCUAAUAGCCAUUGAUGGACCUAUCCUCCUUGAACUGAUUAAUUCUUGUU